rnacentral:rRNA from 1 species
GUGCACCAGUCGAGAAACCUCCGCAAUGCGGGAAACCGCGACGGGGGGACCCCGAGUGCCGUGGCAACGCCACGGCUUUUCCGGAGUGUAAAAAGCUCCGGGAAUAAGGGCUGGGCAAGGCCGGUGGCAGCCGCCGCGGUAAUACCGGCGGCCCGAGUGGUGGCCGCUAUUAUUGGGCCUAAAGCGUCCGUAGCCGGGCCCGUAAGUCCCUGGCGAAAUCCCACGGCUCAACCGUGGGGCUUGCUGGGGAUACUGCGGGUCUUGGGACCGGGAGAGGCGGGGGGUACCCCUGGGGUAGGGGUGAAAUCCUAUAAUCCCAGGGGGACCGCCAGUGGCGAAGGCGCCCCGCUGGAACGGGUCCGACGGUGAGGGACGAAGGCCAGGGGAGCAAACCGGAUUAGAUACCCCGGUAGU